rnacentral:lncRNA from 1 species
GCGGCACCUCUGUUCAUGGAACUUCGGAAUAUAGGAACCGAAGUGAUCCCCUUUCUCGGAAUAUAAGCCUCACAAUGGUUUUUUUUUUGAUUAAUUGUCUUAAAGCGUUGCAGUGGACAUGGAAAUACCGGGCGGCCUGCGUCCGUCUGAUCUUGUUAGCACUGUCAUGUAUACAAUUCCUGCCAGCUUUUUGUGAAACUUGUAUCAUCAGCAAUGUCUUUGACAAUUGCGAAAAUAAGUCCUG